rnacentral:lncRNA from 1 species
AAUAUCACAAAUGACAUAUGACUGCAGUCUGUGUAUAAUGUUUAGGCAGCUAGAAAUGUGCAUAUAACUGGACCUAAAAUUAAGUAAAAUAGCAAACAUAGAACAAACCGUAACUGACCGUUCGCUUCAAUCAUCUCGUGCAGUACUCAACUGAUUCUUGCAAUUGCAAGAAAACUAAAUAUUAUCCAAGUCAACCAAGAAGUUCCAGACAAUGCCACAUAUUCAUGUCAAUCCAAUUUGGACUGAACAAACCAACCGAGACAGUCAUUGGAUCUCCUCUGACCUUUACAAGGCAACUGGGCAUUCUCCAACUAGGUUACUCGAAACACCACCUUGUAUAUUACUUACCAUCAUGUCAACCAAUGCAACCAAGCUAGUCCUUGAAUAGUUUUCCCCUAUUCUGAUAAGAAAACUGAUAUUCUCCAACUAGAGAAGAAGCCUACGUCAUGUCAAUCAGUCAUUUUGGACUGAACAAAAGCAACCAAGUUAGUCCUUGCACACUUCUUGCUUAGGUUCUUGCCGAUUCUUACAAAACAGAAAGACAUUCCUCACCCAUGCUGUUCAGAACACCGCAUAACCAUCACGUCGGUCGAAUCUGGACUGAACAGAAGCAACUGAGUUAGUUAUUUGAAUAUUUCUCGCCAACCCAUGCAAGAAAACCAAACAUUGCCAACUAAGAAGCCUUACAUCAUGUCAGUGUAAUUGGGAUGGACACAAGCAAUCGAGUCGGUCCCUAUUUUUGAACAAGCACCUGUAGCUAUAUUGUCGACUGUCUUGGCACUCACAAGGACUCAACAGCAUGAGCCUAACUCUCCCGCCUCACAUCCACGGUUGCUGCAGCAGGUGCAUGAGGGUUUGCACCGCGGGCACAUGCACAGGUCCUUGUCGCUCAAUCUGACGGUGCUAUCAUCAUCAUGCCGGAGGCAGCUCUGCAGUUAUUAAUAGCAGCACACGUUAGCUUGUAAGGUUGUAGCUGAGCAUACAUAUGAAUGCAUUCCUCAAAAAAAUACCUAUGACUGCAAGCUUAACGAAGUAUAUCUAUAUCUAUAUCUAUAUCUAUACUACUAUAUAGUGUACCAGUUUUGAGAUGGAUGCAGAGCAUCAAUCAGAACCGUUGGUCUCCAAAAUCCAAGGGCUAAGAUUAGCCGGAUUCGCCAUGAACAGUAGACUGGUGUUGCCUCUGCUGUGUUCUAGAAUAUUCACGUGGCCCUUCCAGGAAAAAAAGGCCCAUAUGUGAUGCCUCAUGGACUAUUACUGCUUGAGCGCAUGACGACUUGAGCCAGAUAAAAAGGUUUGGGAGGAGAAUGGGAAGAAAAAAUAAUAAAGUAAUAUACAGUUUUUUUAAUGAACCUCCAGUAUUUUAGAUGUGAACGUACAGUUUUUUGUAUGAAUAUUAAAAACAAUUGUGGGUGGAAUUCCAUUUAUCAAAGUCACUCCAUUAUACUUUUCUCAAGUCACACUCCAAAAUCACACCAUUCUUUUAAGACGUGCAUUGCACGUGCAUACAUUACAUACUAGUACAAAUAUAUAUUGGACUGGUUGAAAAAUAAGGCAACGUACCACAAGCCACACGACACCAUGAAGUGCAGUAGCCAGUCCCACAAGUGUCCAGAAUAGCCCCAAGAGGUGAGGGAAGAACCAUGCGUACAUGGAUAAACAGAACAGGAGCGCUAAACACAUCAUUCCAAGACGACUCAAGUGUUGAGCUGCUCGCUGCUCAAAGAUGCUUUGGCCAUACAAAUUCAUCAUUGAUCCCCCAUUAACAC